UCGUUCUGUGACUCUCAUUUU
rnacentral:piRNA from 1 species